AGCGAACGCUGGCGGCAGGCUUAACACAUGCAAGUCGAACGAACCUUUCGGGGUUAGUGGCGGACGGGUGAGUAACACGUGGGAACGUGCCUUUAGGUUCGGAAUAACUCAGGGAAACUUGUGCUAAUACCGAAUGUGCCCUUCGGGGGAAAGAUUUAUCGCCUUUAGAGCGGCCCGCGUCUGAUUAGCUAGUUGGUUGAGGUAAUGGCUCACCAAGGCGACGAUCAGUAGUUGGUCUGAGAGGAUGAUCAGCCACAUUGGGGCUGAGACACGGCCCAAACUCCUACGGGAGGCAGCAGUGGGGGAUCUUGCGCAAUGGGCGAAAGCCUGACGCAGCCAUGCCGCGUGAAUGAUGAAGUUCUUAGGAUUGUAAAAUUCUUUCACCGGGGACGAUAAUGACGGUACCCGGAGAAGAAGCCCCGGCUAACUUCGUG
rnacentral:rRNA from 1 species